GACUGUUUCAUUCUUCUGAGCAGGAAGGAAUCAAAGGGAAGCAAUACUGUGAUCCAGAAAAAUCCAUUGAAUGUUGGGGAGGGAAGGGUAGCUGUUUCCAUUUAACCAACAUAGGCAAUGGAGGGAAGUAUUUUUCAGUAAUUGGGACCUUAAGAAAGACAGAGCCCCAUUAGAUUCCAAAGGCAACUCCUAAGUUUUAGUUGUUAAUUUCUGUCACGUUGCCUUGGUUGGAAUGAUGAUCAUUAAUUAUUCCUUUAUGAAGAUUUACUUUUAAAUUUGUCUCAAAAUGGCUUGAACAAUGGAUUCUAACCGAGUAUAACUAAUAUAUUACAUUAAAAAUCAAUUCCUAAAAUAUGAAAAGUAACAGAACAGAUUUUGCAUUGUACAGCAUAACAAAACGCACACACGCGCGCACACACACACACACACUCUUACACCUCCAAAAACUUCACAUUUGUUUUCUUCUUCUUUAGAUAAUAAACAGAACUGCUUCUUCCAGAUGAUACUGAAUGGCCCAUGCACCUCCCUUCACACCAGCAUAGGCACAACCAUUUCAAAAAGGAUCAAAGAGUCAAAAAUCGUUCUUUCUGGAGCCAUGGAACAUGAAACAUGGGGACUUAAAAGUGUCACCUCAGGAAUUAACAAACACAAAAAUGUGUGCCCAGCCCCAAACCACUUUCUGAGAGGUAAGAUAAAUUGUAGGAACCUGUCCACAUCACAGCACAUGUAAUCGAAUAGACUUUGAAAAGGCAUGAUGUGACUUGAGGAUCCUAGAUCCUGGAUCUUUUCUGCCUGCCAAACGUGUGGCCUUUCUGUGCAAAGGAGGUGUCCUGCUAGAGCCACCAGGAGGCCACUCACAUUAAACACGAGAGUACUGUCCUGGCUUUCAGGUUCUGAUUGCAUGAAGUCAGCCCAUGAGUACAUGGGGCUAAAAUCACUGAAUGUAACCAAGGGAAGGUAAUAGUACUGUUGUUUGGACAUGUAUUGAACAUCAAUAAUGCAUUACACUCCAUCUGCAACACAGAAUUAGAUGCUGCCCCUGACUAGGAAUUCAUUAAUCUACGUGGAUAUACAGGCAACUAGGGGAUGCCUUGACAACAAGAAGGGAAACAUAGAAACUGUUUAGAUUAUCGACUUUUUAAAUAAAUGAAUCGUCUUUAGAGACUGUGGUUGUUGGGAGAAGAAAAACUUUAAGACAGAUCCUGAACUAAGUCAGACAGUGAGAACACAGGUUCUGUAUCCACACCAGAAUUCCCGAAAGUUCUGCCAGACUUUAAGCAAAGUGAGUAGAAGAACAUCCAGGCUUUUUAAAAUUAGGUUAUGAUUCACUCUACCAAAGUUCCAUUCAUUUUACUAAGGAAUUUACUUCUAAAUUCUUGCAAAUAACCUUAGCUCUUUGAAUGCAUUUCUAAUUGAAUUAGAAUUAUAAACACUGCAAAUUAGACUCAACUGCCAGAGACAGAAAAUUUGUACUACUCAUGUAAUUAACACACAUCCUUAGGCUCACAGGCAGUACUGACCAAGAAAUAAGAUCCUGAAUUAGGAUAACCUACCCUUAAUCUAAUGAUACCAUGCUUUUAGCUUGUUGGUCUUCAUCUCACAUUUCCUUAUGAUGCUUCAGCAUUUGUAAAGCUAUCUUCGAUUCUAAUAAAAUGAAUGUAAUGCAAGUUCAAUGAACAAUCACAAAACAUAUUGAUUGACAGGUGACUUUGGAUGUCACCUAACGAAACCUUCCUCCACAGUUGGGAAGCACCCCAGACACAUUCCUGAUAACCUCUGCUUAAGCACAUCCACUGACAGAUGUCCACUUCUCAAGGCUCUCCUGAGUCACUCAACUUCAGUGGUGUAGGAUCUCAUAUGGAACAGGCAACAUUUACAGAUGAAUAAGUAAAGUUCUAAAUUAAUGGAGGAAGAGUAAGAGGGAGAGUAUAUGUUUAUUUUAGUUAUCUCUGCUGUGCUGGAGCAUUUGGUUUUCUGACACUUCCAUUUCAAAUAUUCUAUGUAACUUCAUCUUCCUGUGAAUUCUUUCUACUAUACUACCUUCAGAUUUAUUCUCUAAAUCAAAAGAAUGAUAGCACCAAAAAUCCC
rnacentral:lncRNA from 1 species